UCGAGGAUCUUCGUCAAUGGGCGCAAGCCUGAACGAGCGACGCCGCGUGGGCGAUGAAGGCCUUCGGGUUGUAAAGCCCUGUCGAGGGGGACCAAGCCCGGGUAACCGGGUUGAUCGAUCCCUGGAGGAAGCACGGGCUAAGUUCGUGCCAGCAGCCGCGGUAAGACGAACCGUGCGAACGUUGUUCGGAAUCACUGGGCUUAAAGGGCGCGUAGGCGGCCCGCGAGGUCGGGGGUGAAAUCCCACGGCUCAACCGUGGAAGGGCCUCCGAUACCGGCGGGCUGGAGGAGGGUAGGGGUGCGCGGAACUUCUGGUGGAGCGGUGAAAUGCGUUGAUAUCAGAAGGAACGCCGGCGGCGAAAGCGGCGCACUGGACCCUUUCUGACGCUGAGGCGCGAAAGCCAGGGGAGCAAACGG
rnacentral:rRNA from 1 species